GAUGAAGAACGUAGCGAAAUGCGAUAAGUAGUGUGAAUUGCAGAAUUCAGUGAAUCAUCGAAUCUUUGAACGCACAUUGCGCCCUUUGGUAUUCCUUAGGGCAUGCCUGUUCGAGCGUCAUUUAAACCUUCAAGCUCAGCUUGGUGUUGGGUGACUGUCCGCUUCACCGCGGACUCGCCUCAAAAUUAUUGGCGGCCGGUACAUUGGCUCUCGAGCGCAGCAGAAACGCGUAACUCGAGGUCCUCGUGCUGGCUCCCAGAAGCUAUCUUCACAAUUUUGACCUCGGAUCAGCUAGGGAUACCCGCUGAACUUAAGCAUAUCAAUAAGCGGAGGA
rnacentral:misc_RNA from 1 species